rnacentral:rRNA from 1 species
AUUGAACGCUGGCGGCAGGCCUAACACAUGCAAGUCGAACGGUAACAGGAAGAGGCUUGCUUCUUUGCUGACGAGUGGCGGGCGGGUGAGUAAUGUCCGGGAAACUGCCUGAUGGAGGGGGAUAACUACUGGAAACGGUAGCUAAUACCGCAUAAUGUCGCAAGACCAAAGAGGGGGACCUUCGGGCCUCUUGCCAUCGGAUGUGCCCAGAUGGGAUUAGCUAGUUGGUGGGGUAACGGCUCACCUAGGCGACGAUCCCUAGCUGGUCUGAGAGGAUGACCAGCCACACUGGAACUGAGACACGGUCCAGACUCCUACGGGAGGCAGCAGUGGGGAAUAUUGGACAAUGGGCGCAAGCCUGAUGCAGCCAUGCCGCGUGUGUGAAGAAGGCCUUCGGGUUGUAAAGUACUUUUAGCGGGGAAGAAAGGAGUAAGGUUAAUACCUCGGCGGAUUGACGUUACCCGAAGAAGAAGCACCGGCUAACUCCGUG